AGGUUUGGGAAACAGUGGAUCAGGACACCCUGUGGAAAUUUAGGUUUUAUUAUGUGUUUAUUAUUUUCUUUGCUGCUAUUAUUCAUGGAUAAACUUGUGGAUUGGGAAUGCUUACCUCUUUAUGACAGGCACCGUAAAUGUCUGUGUCAGCCAUUUAAUUUUCUCUUUCUAGUCCACAGACAUUUCUUUCAGCAACUGAGUCAUUUAAUCGCAAAGAGAGUUUUGUUGCCUUUCAUGUUCUUUGUUGUCAAAACAACCUUGUUUCUUUUUUAUCAGCUAUAGUAUUUAGUUUCACUGCGAUCUCGGGAUGUGUUAUUUGGAAGUGAUGUGGUUACUCAUUUAAGGAUUGACGUGUUAUUUGGAAGUGAGGUGGUUAUUCAUUCGAGGAUUGAAUUCCAUUCCCUUUGACUUGCAUUGUUUGUGUUCAUUGCUAUCAAACAACUUUCUUCAUUUUAAAUGUAUGGAGUCUAUUUUUUUAAGAUGAAAUCCCCACUAAAUGUUUAUGUUUUAUUUUUUCUUUCUUUUUCAUCAUCUCCUAGUUAUUUGUGUUUCUCAUAGGCUUGGUCUCAUCCCUUCGACUUGCAUAUGUUUGUGUUCAUUGCUAUUGAACAACUUUCUUUUUUGCCAUUAGUCUUCUGGAGCUUUGCCAUGAGACUUCUUGAGUUUUGCCGUGAGACUUCUUGAGUUUUGCCGUGAGACUUCUUGAGCUUUGUCACAAGUCUUCUUGAGCUUUGCCACGAGUCUUCUUGAGCUCUGCCAUGAGUCUUCUUGAGCUCGGCAAUGAGUUUUCUUGAGCUUUGUCGUGAAGAAUGUAGGGGUCAGGUUUUGGAAACCGUGGAUGGAGAUGCAGUUAAAGUUUCGGUUUUAUUAUCUUUGCAUUUAUUAUGCUGAUAAAAAAAAUCUUUGCAUUCAUUAUUUUCUUUUUUGAUAUUCUUUUUGCUACUCUGGUGGAGUGGGAGUUCUUGUAAUUGGACCUUUGACUUUGAUGAUUUGAUUAUCUUCUACUUGUGUUGUAGAGAAUUUUGAGCUUUGCCAUUAGUCUUCUUGAGCUUUGCCAUGAGUCUUCUUGAUCUCUGCCUUGAGCCUUCUUGAACUCUGCCAUGAGUCUUCUUGAGCUUUGCCAUGAAUCUUCUUGAGCUUUGUCAUGAAUCUUCUUGAGCUUUUACAUGAAGGAUGUAGGGGUCAGGUUUUGGAAAUAGUGGAUGGAGAUACAGUUAAAGUUUAGGUUUUAUUAUCUUUGCAUUUAUUAUGCUGAUAAAAAAAAUCUUUGCAUUCAUUAUUUUCUUUGCUCCUAUUCUUUUUGCUACUCUUGUGGAGUGGGAGUUUUUGUAAUUGGGCCUUUGACUUUGAUGAUCUGAUUAUCUUCUUCUACUUGUGUUGCAAUGAACACUUACCAUGGAUGUUUGUUGGACAUAUUGUGAAGCUUCAGGUUUUAUUACUUUUCCACUCACUAUUUUUCUUAUGUGCUCGAUUUGGAAUGUGUACAGUUUCUCUUAUUUGUUGGAUAGUUGGAAGGUAUUUCAUUGUAUUGUAUGUAUCUAAGCAAGAGCAAUACUUCUAGGUCCUCCAUCAUCUAACCAUAUUGAUUAUAGUUUUCUUGAAUUCAUUGGCCUAAAAGGAAAGCUAAGCAAUGAAGUUUGGUGUAGGAUGUAAAAAUGGUUGGUGGAAAUUCUGUGAUCAGUGAAGCUAAAUGUUUCUCUCAUUAGGACAUUGUUGUGUUUAACUGAAUUAAUUUUUAACUGGCUAAACUUGUUGGUUUGAUUAUAAUCUUGGUUGUAUUUUGAUGGUGUAUGGUUCUAAGAGGCAUUGUGGGAUUAGCAUGAGACAAGUGUGGUUGGGCUUUACUCUUUUAUUUGAUGGUUUGCUUCUUGGUUUGGAAAGUUCUACUAUUUAAUUUUGAUGACUUCUCUGCAUAAUUCUAUAAUAUAGGUCUGUUGUUCUUUUAAUAGUUUUCCAAAACCUUUUGAUUCAUUAUUCUUGAUCCCAAACAUAGAAUUUUUGCAUGUAAUCUCGUGUGAUCCUAGACAACAAUGUCUCUUACUAUGAUGACGGACAUCAAUGUCUCUUACGCUGAAAUUUUUGAAAUUAGUAUAAGAAUGAUCCUGAAAUUGAAAUUGUUUAAAUGCUUCACUUUUGUUUCAACAAUCUCAUGUGUUUCUCGUUCCUUGAGUUUUGAAAUUUGCAUUUAUUUGUUUGCAACACAUUGAGUCUUUAUUUGAGGUUUCUCUUUCAGUUCAUUAACUCAGCAAGUGAUGGAAUAUAGUGGGACGACUAACAUGUUUAAUCAACCAGUUAUAGAUUUUUUUCUUUUUUUCCUUUAUUGUUUAUUGAGUUGAGUGCUUUGAAAAUAUUUCUGUAACCAAUUGGGAUUGAAAGUCCAGCGUUAUGCCUGGCAUUAGAUAAUUGGACUUCUUUUAUUAGUUAUCCAAACCGUUCAUUUUUUUCAUAUUUGUUCUAUUUGGACAGGAAUUGUAUGCGAGAGAGAUAAUGAAGUUUUGGAGGUGAAUUUGUUAAUUUCAGUUACGACUAUGGAGGAAUUGUAUUUUGGAGGUGAAUUUGUGAAUUUGUAUGAGACAACUUUGUUUCUCUGAAAUUUAGAGAGCCUCUUUAAUAUUGCAUGGUAGUUUUUUUAUACGAUAUACAAGUAUAUCCAGUUUUAUUUGGAUAUUUUUUAGCAACAAUGCUUUUGGAAUAGGAUUUGUUUGAGCGCUACCAUGAGAAAGUUCAACUUGAAACGACAACAACUCAUAAUAGCCUAAUUCCUUCUAUAUGAGGUUUCACCUUUUAUUUAACUUCUAAGGACUUGAUUACCAACAUUAGGAUUGAAUUGUGAUUUGUUUUUCUACAGUGGUUUAUGAUUGUCUUCAAACAAUGUUUGGAUCUCAUCGAGCCAGUUGGUUUCUGAGUUAAGAAUUUUUCUAAUAUUUUCUAAAAUUCCUCCCCUGAAACAAGUGUUUUUAGUUUUCUUGAAUUUUUGCUCUUUACAGAUAAGACAAGCAAUGGAUGUGUGACGACAUGUAGAAACAUGGGGAUCAAUUAAAGCCUUAGUUUGUCUUAAUUGGUGACUAGUUAUUUGAAUGCAGUUUUAUAUGUGGUGACAAUGAUCUAUCAAAAUAAAAAAAUUGGUUUAGGAUUUCCUCUCUAUUUGAUAUUUUCAGAUUUGAUCACCAAAUAUAAGGAUUUUCUGUUGCCAUUUGUUUCUCUGCAGUGAUGUUUGCAUUAUGGCUUUACAAGUCUUUCAGAGGAUCAGUAGUUUCAGAGGUGAAUUGUGUGUUGCAGUGUAAAUUGUUCAAGUUUAUUUAUUUGCAAAAGGGAUCAAUUCUCCAUUCAUUUUUGCAGAAGAUUAGAUGGCUAACAUUAUUGUUCGUUCAUUUGAUCCAGUAAGAGCUCAUUCUAGAAAUGUGGACUUCUCUUUAAAAGCCUUUGGUAUUUUAACUAUCUUCAAAAGAUAUUUUUUCUGGAUCUAUUGUUUUGACAGAGCAGGUCUUCGAGGAAGACACGAGUGUUGUUGAUUUUUAGAUUUGGAAUUGUUCAAGUACCAACAACAUGAUUUCAUGAUCUCUUAUGAUUUCCCCUGAAUUCUUGGUUGUUGUUUUGCCAGGGUAGGGUCUGGGUAGAUUUGGGUUUUUGGAUUCGGAAUUGUCCAACUACCAACAAUGUGUGUACAGGUUUGAAAUAGAUGAUGUGUUUGUCAGAUAUUUUCUAGGGAUAUAUAUAUAUAUAUAUAUAUAUAUAUAUAUAUAUUUAGUUGCUAGUUUUAUUUUUCAUUCAAUUACUUAAUUGCUUUAUUACUAUGAUCAUUUGAUUAUAAAAUUAUUCUUGGUAGUUAUAUAAUUAUUCAUGGUUGUUAGAUUACCUUUAAUAGUUACUGUUGUUGGAAAUAUAAUCUAGAAGUCCUUUGUUGGCUAAUGAUUCUCUAACAUUUUUUUUAAUUUUAUGGUAGUUGUAUUUUGCUUUGACAAUUUAGUUUAGUUUUUUUUAUUAACUCUGAUUGUUUCCAGCAUCGACACAUGAAUUUUGAACUUGUUCUUGCAUAAUUUAUCAUGGGAGAAAAUGAAUUGGUGGUGUAGGUUUGGGAAACAGUGGAUCAAGACCCUAUGGAAAUUUGGGUUUUAUUCUGUGUUUAUUAUUUUCUUUGCUGCUAUUAUUCACGGAUAAACUUGUGGACUGGGAAUGCUUACCUCUUUAUGACAGGCACUGUAAAUGUCUGUGUCAGCCAUUUAAUUUUCUCUUUCUAGUCCGCACUCAGACAUUUCUUUCAGCAACCAGUCAUUUAAUCGGAAAGAGAGUUUUGUUUCCUUUCAUGUUCUUUGUUGUCAAAACAACCUUUGUUUCUUUCUUAUCAGCUAUAGUAUUUAAUUCACUGCGAUCUCAGGAUGUGUUAUUUGGAAGUGAUGUGGUUAUUCAUUCGAGGAUUGAUGUGUUAUUUGGAAGUGAGGUGGUUAUUCAUUCGAGGAUUGAGUUUCAUUCCCUUUGACUUGCAUUUUUUUGUGUUCAUAGCUAUCAAACAACUUUCUUCCUUUGAAAUGUAUGGAGUCUAUUUUUUUAAGAUGAAAUCCCCUCUAAAUGUUAAUGUUUUAUUUUUUUUCUUUCUUUUUCAUCAUUUCCUAGUUAUUUGUGUUUCUCAUAGGCUUGGUCUCAUCCCUUCGACUUGCAUUUGUUUGUGUUCAUUGCUAUUAAACAACAUUUUUUUUAAAUGUAUGGAGUCUUUUUUGUUACGUCUAGAGAUGUUGAUUUGCUUGUUUUCAUUCCGUUUUAGGUGUUGAUUUGUUUGCGUUCAUUCCUUUUUAGGUGUUGAUUUGUUUGUGUUCAUUCCUUUUUAGCAUUUGGAGGCCUCAAGAAUGGUUGAGGAUUAAAAUCUGGAAGUGUUUAGAACGACCAAUAAUUCAGGAUAACCUAAUUUCAUUAGUUUCCUUUCCAUUUGAUUUCUUGAGAUUUGAUCACGAAGAAUAAGGAUUGAAUUGUCAUUUGUUUUUAUGAUGUCUUUCUUUGUUUUGAAUGUCUUAUUGUCUCUAUACUUCAACUCUAUGAGCCGUUGUAGCCUUCCUGAAUUCUUGGGGUGUACAGUACAGGACAAACAUGCAACAGAUGUUACGUAGGACAGAUGUGAGUAUCCUUAAAGCUCUAGGUUUUGGUAUCCACACAUAUUUUUGUCUUUAAUUGGGACUGGCUAUUUGAAUUUCUCUGGUUUUUGAAUUCCUUCAAUUCAUCUUAUGCUUUCUUAACUUCUUGGUCUUUAUUACCAAUAUCUAUUUUUAUUUAAAUAUAGUUCUUAAAUUUUUUAUGUCUAGGUGUUGAUUCGUUUGUGUUCAUUUCUUUUUAGCAUGUAAGACUGGUUAAGGAUUAAAAUCUGCUAGUGUACACGAAAAACAAGCCACGGAUGUGAGGUAGGAUAUCUAAAUACUGGAAGGAGAUGCUUGAUUCUGUAGGUUAUCCAUAAUCUUUGAUGACAGAUGCUUACUUGAGUUUGGAUGUAGUUAUUUAUUUGAUGAAAGAGAUCUAUCAUAUGUAACUUUGUGUUAGUUCCUUUUCAGCAGGGGAUUCUGGUUGAGGAUUAAAAAACAUAAAUUUGAAUAUUGAUUUUGUUUGAUUAUUGAAAUAUGACAAAUCUAGCUGUUUGAUCUUUGAAUAUGUUGAUUCUUUUUAGCAAAUCAUAGGUUAGUAAUAAUAAAAUGCUCAGGGAAGAUGUCUCCCCUUUACUUGAAACAUUGUAGAUAGAGCAUAUUUUUCCAGACUGAUAUGCGAGGUAGGGUGUGGAAACACUUCCCAGGGGAUUUGUGAAGCUUUAGGUUGUUACCUGUUAGAUAUUAUUAGAUAUUAUUAGAUAUUAUUAGAUAUUAUUAGAUAUAAUUAGAUAUUAUUUGAUAUUAUGAGAUAUUAUAGAUAUUGUUAGAUAUCUCAUAUUUAUGUAAUGGGCUUAGCCCAUAUGUUUCUUUUCCUAUAUAAACAUAACCCUAUGUGUUCAAUAUACACAAGGGAUUUACCCUAUUCUUUCUUUUCCUUUAAUAUUACCCUUACCAUUCUUGUGUCUUUAUUUGUGACUGACUAAACUUCUUGUUUGGAUUCUAAGUUUUGGUUGGAUUCAUUGCUAACAUUGUAGUUUGACUGGCAGUCUGGCAGUUCUUGUGGGUUUAGAGGUCGUGUAAUACUCUCUUUUUUAAGUUGUCCAUUUCUAAGUAAUUUAGGCUUCUCUUAGCUUUUACCAGUCCUGGAUUCAUAGUGAAAUUUGACCCUUUUACAUGGUGCAAUUGAAAUUAAGGAGAGAAUUAUUGAUCUUUAGUUUUCUAGUACUGAAUUAAUUUUGGAUUUGUUUUGGUGUAGCAAAUCUGAAAGGUCAUUUUCUUAGUUAUUACUUCAUUUACUAAAUAAUCAAGAGCAUUGGACAAUUUGAUUUUGUAGUGUUUUGUUUGCUGCAUUGACAAAUGAAUCUUGCAUUCUAUUGUUUUUAGGAGUUUUAGAUUACAUCCUGAAUAUGACAUGAUGAUCUCUUCUAUCUUCCAAAAUGAGAAUGAUCUGCAACAUUAGAGUUGUAUUUAGUUCUAUGUCCAAUGUGAGAAUGAGAAAAUUAAGAGCUCUAUUUAGUUUUAUCUCCAAUUAUCUCUAAUAUGAGAAUGAGAAACAACAGUAGUUGGAAUGUUUUCUUGCAAUCUUCCUGUGCUAUGAUUUAGUUCUCUCUCCAUAUAUGAGAAUAAGAAAAUGAGAAAGAGAAACAAGAUUAUUUGGAAUGUUUUGUAGUAAUCUUCUUGCACUAUGAUUCGGUUCUCUCCCAAUAUGCGAAUGAGAAACAACAAUAUUUGGAAAGUUUUGUCGUAAUCUUCUUGUGCUAUGAUUCGGUUCUGUCCCCAAUAUGCGAAUGAGAAGAUGAGAAACAACAGCUUAUGAGAGCUCCAUUUGGUUCUAUCUCCAAUAUGAGAAUGAGAAACAACAGUACAUGAGAGUUCUAUUUAGUUUUAUCUCUAAUACGAUAAAGAAGAGAAACAAAAGCAUUUGGAUUGUUCUCUUUGUAAUCUUCGUGUGCUAUGAGCAACGCCUCCCCUCGAGGCUAUGGUUACGGGUGAUGCCUCUCUAUUCCAACAUGAGAGCUCUAUAUAUUUUUUUGGGGUGGGGUCUCAAUUUAUGAUACCAUGUGGAAGCAGACACCAUAUUUUUGCCGUCUAUAUUUCUCAGCUCUUGCUGAUUUUGCCAUGCUGAACUUAGUUUUCUUGAAUUGCCAUUCUUCUUAAAUUUUUACAGUAAAGCAAUAGAUAUGUGGGGGCAGGUUUUGGAAACAUUGUAUGGAGAUCUGGUGAAACUUUAGAUUUUAUUAUCUUUGCAUAUUCAUCAUUUUCUUUGAUGGCUAAACUUGUGGAUUGGGAGUUCUUGUAAACAGGCACUAUGUGAGUUUGAGAGGCUUUGGCAAUUGUGUUGUUAGGCCUUCGAUCCUGGUGAUUUGAUAAUCUGUUGCAGUGAAGACUUUAUGGAUGUCUGUUACCCAAAUUACGGUACAUUAUUGGACUUACAUUUCCAUUUCACUAUUUUUUUUAUAUCCUUGAUUUGGUUGUGGUAUCUCUUAUUGGUUGAAUAGUGGGAAGGCACAUGUGAAUCUUAUGAUGUAUUGCCUUUAAUAGUUUUUGCUGUUGGAAAAAUAAUCUAGAAGUCCUUUCUUAGCAAAUUAUUCUCAUUAUUGUAGAAAUUCUAUAACAUUUAUUCAGGUUUUACUUUCUACAAUUAGUUUAUUUUUAUCCACUCCGAUAACUAAUUAAAUAUUUACUUUCUCUAGAAAGUAGACUAUGUGAUUGAUAUAUUUUAAUGUUAUUCAUAAAUUAGUUCUUUAUAUUAAUCAUUACAAAAAUGUUUGGUAUACACUCAUAUUUAUCAUAUUGCCUUCAAGUAGAAAGGUAUUUGUAUAGGGCAAUUGCUUCCUCCCCCAAUCAAUUUUGACUAGCAUUCAAUAGAAGUUUUAAAACUUCAUUAUGCCUUUUUCACGGCUUACGAAUGCCAAUAUCCAAAAGUGACAUAUUUGCCUAUGGAUAUUGCCAUUUGGAAGUGAUAGUUUUGCCUACGGAUAUUAACAUUCGAAAGUGUCAGUUUUGCCUACGGAUAUUGACAUUUGGAAGUGUCAGUUUUGCCUACGGACAUUGGCAUCUGGAACUGGCACUCUUUGAUUGCGUUCAUUUUUAUCCGAAAGGCACUAUCAUUUUUCUUAAUAUACAUAUCAGGAAGCCAAUCAUCCUUAACUUUUUUUUUUGGCAGUGUAAUGAUUUUGUUACUUUUAAUGGAUUAAAACCACUAAACCGAACCAAUUUAAAGAAUAAAAGUAAAAUCAACAUUAAAAUUUGUUACUUGCUUUUUAUUAUAAAAUAUUUAUAUUAUCAUUUAUAUAUUUUCAAAUGCAUUAACCAUUGAUGACAUAUAGAACAUUGUUGAGAGUAGAAAAAAAGCACCCAAUAAACACAUUUUGGAUUUUCAAAAUGGGACCUGAUGAAAAAGACUUUCGUGGUGCAUAUGGAUGUUUAUAUUCAUAACUCAUAACACAAUUACGGACAAAAAUAUUCAGAACCCGUGAGAAGCGUGAAGCGACACGUCUCCUUUUCUGGUGUCUUUGCUUUCUGUCGUUGUUGAAGUGGCUCAAAAGCGUUGCUUGCGUGUGUGUAAGACUUUCGGAAGAGAAUGUCUACAAGAAACAAUGAAUGACCUUCUGCACUGUGCUUGAUUGUGGGGUGUAUGGAACCUAAUUUCACUCAUUAAGGGUGUCAUGGUAAUUUCAUAUAGAUCAUUAAGGGUGUUAUGGUAAUUUCAAACAGAAAAUUGGGUGUUAGUUAGAAUUGAUUGGGUGCAGGAGAGUCAGCUUUGUGUAGCAAUAAAAAGUCACAAAGAAAUCUAUUCAACUCUAAAAGGUUGUGAUAUUUAACACCACAAAGAGUAAAAAACAUUCACAAAUUAAUAAAAUAAUAUUUUAAUCAUAUUUAAUUUAUUUUUAUUUUUAAAUAUUAUUAUAUUAUUAUAAUGAGAUGUUAAGUAUACGUUUUUACAUGGUGUCAAAAAAUUAUUUUCCUAUUCUAAAAGAACUUAGACAAAUGUCUUAUUAUAAUAAAACUAAUAAUGUGGAAAAUAUUUUAAAAAACACUAAUAAAAGAAAUAAGUUUAUUUUUCAAAUUGAAGUCAAAUUAAGAUUAAAACAAUCUUAAAAUUUAAUUAUAUUGACUAAAAAGUUAAUAAAAACAAAACAAUAUUUACAAGAUAUUUUUAAAUAUCUUUAAAAUAAUAACUGCAAAUUUGUUUCCCCUGUUUUGUGUCAGCGGUUUGUUAUAAGAUAAGGAUGAAAAUCUUAAUUGCAUAUUUUCACCUCACCGCGUAAUAUAAGCUGUCAAUCUUGACCCUCCCUUUCUAUAUAUACCCGAAGAUCUUAUUGAGUUUAUCAUAUUGAGUUUUGUUGGUAUUGGUUCCGUGAUUGAGUUUUGUUAGUACUGAUUGGGGGUGAUUGUUGUGCUUCUUAUUAUCAAGUCUCCGUGGUUUCGUCGAAUUAUAUCAUGUUUGCUAUCAUCGAUGUGGUUUUGAUGUGGUUUUGUCGGAUUGAAGAAUGCAAGAAUCUUUUAUAGGAUUGAAGAACGCCAAUUCUGAAUAUGAUUCUUUAUGUGAUGAUGACAAGUUUUGAAUCUUUUGAUCAAAUUCCUUUAUCCCUUUUCUGCUGGUGACGGGGUCUUUGAGUAUUUUCUUCUACUUUCCUUUCUAUUAUUUGAUUUAUCUGGUAUUGAUCACGAAAAUAAGGAUUGGACUAUGAUUUGUUUAUCUGCAGUGGUGUAACACGUUUCUUAGUUAGUUUUCUUGAUUUUUGGGCUGUACAGGGAAGACACGCAAUGGAUGUGAAAUGAAGUAUUAUGUUUUCUUGACUUCUUAUGGGUUUAUUCGUGACUGAUUAUUGGAUUUCGUAGCCUAACUUGGUGUUUAUGUUCACUCCCCUUCAGCAAUUCGAGUUUCUGAGAUUUGAAACCCUAAAAAGUUUGAAACGGUUGCAGCUCAGGACAUCCCAAUUCUCUCUAUCUAUUGUUUAAUUUCUCUCUACUUUAUCUCCAAGGAUUGAAUUGUGUUCGACGUUUGAAUUAUUUUCCCUUAAUGUUAUGAGGCCCCAAGGGUUGAAUUGGUGUUUGAAUUAUUUUUUUCGCUUAAUGUCCUGCAGAGUAUGUUAUGAGACAUAAGGGCUGAAUUGUGAUUUGUUUCCUGUUUGGAUGAUUUGCAUAGCAUCUUAUAGAAUAUGAAUGGUUUGGUUUUCGCACGGUUCUCGCGAGUAUGUUAUAGCCACCAUUCUUCCUUGGUUUUUAAGUCUUCAAUUUAUCUUAUCGUUCUAUACUUCAUCCUCGAUUACCAGUUAUACUUUGUUGAAUUAUUGUUCUUUACAGGGAUGAGUGGGGAUAAGACAGGGAUGUGUGGGUAGGACGUUCCUCGUGGUUGGUUGAAAAUGGUGGAUGAGCCAUGCUCGACGGUAUGAAAAACACAACGACAAUGGGCUCGACAUAACCGAAGUCUUUUUUGAGUUUUCCUUCUAUUUUUCUUCAACAUAAGGAUAUGAUUUGUUUAUCUGCAGUGGUGUUUUGAACCUUUUGCGUAAAUUUCUUUGCUCCUUUUCAGUUGGUGGCCGAUUCUCUGGCGUUUCUUUAGCUUUUGGAUGAUUUGAAAACUAGAACGACCAAGAGCUAGGCAUAACCUAAGUCUUUGUUGAGUUUCCCUUCUUUAACUUUUUUUUCUGCUAUUGAUCACAGUACAUAAGGAUUGAACUAUGAUUUGUUUAUCUGCAGUGGUGUUUGGAUUAGUUGGGUAACGACACAUACUCAUCUUAUCAUGUUCCUAUAACUAGUAAAUUCAUUUACUGAAUUUUGAGUAUAAUUGUCUAUUUGAGUAUGACGAGUUUUAUACCUUUUGCGUAAAUUUCUUUUCAGCUGGUGGCUGGUUUUUUGGUAUUUCUUUUGCCUAUGGAUGAUAUGGAAAGCACAACGACCAAGGGCUCGACAUAACCUUAAGUCUUUUUUUAGUUUCCCUUCUAUUUUUGUUAUGGUAUUGCAUAAGGAUUGAACUAUGAUUUGUUUAUCUGCAGUGGUGUUUGGAUUAGUUGGGUAACGUCACAUAUUAAUCUUAUCAAGUUUCUAUAAUUAGUAAAUUCAUUUAUGUCUAUAUGAGAAUGACGAGUUUUGAACCUUCUGCGUAAAUUUCUUUGCACCUUUUCAGCUGGAGUUCUCUGUCAUUUCUUUCUCCUAUGGAUGAUAUGAAAAGCAGAAGGACCAAGGGGCUCGACAUAACCUAAGUCUUUUUUGACUUUUUUUUUCUAUUUUUCUUUUUCCUGGUAUUGAUGACAGUACAUAAGGAUUGAACUAUAAUUUGGUUAUCUGCAGUGGUGUUAGGAUUAGUUGGAUAACGACGCAUAUUCAUCUUACAAGUUGCUAUAACUAGUAAAUUCAUUUAUGUGAAUUUUGAGUAUAAUUCUCUAUUUGAGUUUGACAAGUUUUAAACCUUUUGCGUAAAUUUAGUUUCAGCUGGUGGCUGGUUUUUUUGCCUUUCUGUUGCCUAUGGAUGAUAUGAAAAGCACAAUGACCAACGGGCUCGUCAUAACCUAAGUCUUUUUUGAGUUUUCCUUCUUUUUUUCUUUUUCCUGGUAUUGUUCACAGUACAUAAGGAUUAAACUAUGGUUUUGUUUAUCUGCAGUGGUAUUUGGAUUAGAUGGGUAACAACGCAUAUUCAUCGUAUCAAGUUUCUAUAACUAGUAAAUUCAUUUACGUCAAUUUUGACUAUAGUUCUCUAUUUGAGUUGACACUAUAGUUCUUUAUUUGAGUAUGACGAGGAAAAUUACUUAAAUUUCUUUUCAGCUGAUCAAGGGCUCAACAUAACCUUAAAUCUUUUUUGACUUUCCCUUUUAUUAUUUUUUUUAGGUAUUACAUAAGGAUUGAACUAUGAUUUGUUUAUCUGCAGUGGUGUUAUGAUUAGUUGGGUAACUUCACAGAUUCAUCUUAUCAAGUUUCUAUAAUUCAUUUAGGUGAAUUCUGAGUAUAAUUCACUAUUUGAGGAUGAUGAGUUUUGAACAUUUUGUGUAAAUUUCUUUGCAUAUUUUCAGUUAUUGGCUGGUUCUCUGGCAUUUCUUUUGCCUAUGAAUGAUAUGAGAAGCACAACGACCAAGGGGCUCAACAUAACCUAAGUCUUUUUUGAGUUUUCCUUAUAUUUUUCUUUUUACUAGUAAUAAUAACAGUACAUAAAGAUUGAACUAUGAUUUGUUUAUCUGCAGUGGUGUUUGGACUAGUUGGGUAACGACGCAGAUUCAUUUUAUCAAGUUUCUAUAACUAGUAAAUUCAUUUACGUGAAUUUUGAGUAAAAUUCUCUAUUUGAGUAUGACGAGGUUUAAACCUUAUGCGUAAAUUUCUUUUCAGCUGGUGGCUGGUUUUUUGGCAUUUCUUUUGCCUAUGGAUGAUAUGCAAAGCACAACGACCAAGGGCUCGAUAUAACCUUAAGUCUUUUUUGAGUUUCCCUUAUAUUAUUCGUUAAUGGUUUUACAUAAGGAUUGAACUAUGAUUUGUUUAUCUGCAGUGGUGUUUUGGAUUAGUUGGGUAACGUCGCAUAUUCCUCUUAUCAAGUUUCUAUAGUUAGUAAAUUCAUUUAUGUCUAUAUGAGGAUGACAAGUUUUGAACCUUCUGCGUAAAUUUCUUUGCACCUUUUCAGCUGGCGUUCUCUAGCAUUUCUUUCUCCUAUGGAUGAUAUGAAAAGCAGAAGGACCAAGGGGCUCAACAUAACCUAAGUCUUUUUUGAGUUUUUUUUUCUAUUUUUCUUUUUCCUGGUAUUGAUGACAGAACAUAAGGAUUGAACUAUGAUUUGUUUAUCUGCAGUGGUGUUUGGAUUAGUUGGAUAACGACGCAUAUUCAUCUUACAAGUUUCUAUAACUAGUAAAUUCAUUUACGUGAAUUUUGAGUAUAAUUCUCCAUUUGAGUGUGACGAGUUUUAAACCCUUUUUGUAAAUUUACUUUCAGCUGGUGCCUGGUUUUUUGGCCUUUCUGUUGCCUAUGGAUGAUAUGAAAAGCACAACAACCAAGGGCUCGACAAAACCUUAAGUCUUUUUUGAGUUUCCUUCUAUUUUUUUAUGGUACUACAUAAGAAUUGAACUAUAAUUUGUUUAUCUGCAGUGGUGUUUGGAUUUGUAUAACGUCACAUAUUCAUCUUAUCAAGUUUCUAUAAUUAGUAAAUUCAUUUAGGUCUAUAUGAGGAUGACGAGUUUUGAACCUUUUGCGUUAAUUUCUUUGCACCUUUUCAGCUGGAGUUGAGUUGUGAACUUGUUUGGAAGUUUUGCAUGUAAUCUCCUUUGAGCCUAGACUGCAAUGUCUCUUAUGCUGAAAUCUUUGAAAUCAGAAUAAUGAACCGGAGUGACAACAAUGCUCUAACGCUGAAAUUUUUGAAAUCAGUAUAAUAAUGAUCCUGAAAUUGUUUAAAUGCUUCACUUUUGUUUCAACAAUCUCCAUUUAUGUUUCUCAUUCUUCGAGUUUUGAAAUCAGCAUUUAUUUGUUUGCAGCACAUUUUGUCUUUAUUUGAGGUUUCUCUUUCAGAUUGUUAACUCAACCAGUGAUGGAAUAUAGUGGGACGGCUAACAUGUCUUAUCAACAAGUUUGAGUGUUUAUCCAAAACCAUUCCAUUCAUUUCUUUUUCAUAUUUGUACAAUUUGGAAAAGGAUUGUAUCCGAGAAAGAUAAUGGAGUUUUGGAGGUGAAUUUGUUAAUUUUAAUCAGAUUGACGAACGUCUCUUGGACAGGAUUUCGUCUCUAUUUGAUAUUUUCAGAUUUGAUCACCAAACAUAUGGAUUUUCUGUUGUCAUUUGUUUUUGUGCAGUGAUAUUUGCAUAAUGUUUCAUGCUACGUCUAAUCAAUCAUGUUGUUUGGAAGUUUGUAUGACUCUUGAUAACAGGCUUUACAAGAGUUUGGGAGGAUUAGUAAUUUCAGAGGUGAUACCUAUUAUCAUAUUUGUGUCUUGUAGUGUGAACUGUUCAAGUUUAUUCAUUUGCAAGAGGGAUCAAUUCUCCACUUUUGAUGCAGAAGAUUAGAUGGCUAACAUUAUUGUCCGUUCAUUUGAUCCAGCAAGAGCCCAUUCUAGAAAUGUGGUCUUCUCUUUAAAGGCCUUUAGUAUUUUACUAUCAUAAAUAGAUAUUAUUUCUGGUUCUAUUGUUUUGACUGAGAGGAAGUCACAAGUCUUGUUGAUAUAUGAUGAUCUCUUAUCAUUUCCCCUUAAUUCUUGGUUGUUGUUUUGACAGGGUAGGGUUUGGGGAGUCUGGGUUUUUGGAUUAGGAAUUGUCCAACCACCAACAAUGUGUGUACAAGUUUGAAAUAUAUGAAUGAAGGCUGUCAAGGAAAAUGAUUACAGCAAUGAAGGCUAAAAAAAAAAUUGCGGAAGCAGAGUCUCCUAGAUCAGGAUAUAUAUAUGCUAGAGUGGAAAGAAAUAGAUGAAAUAUAUUUCUGAGAUAUCUUACAAAUGUGAUUACAGUCUCUAUUUAUAGACUGUUUUACAACCUAAUUAAAGAAAGAAAUAAUAGGUGAUGAAAGCCAGAAAUAAAUAAUGAGUGUUUAAAGCUGUACAAAUCAAAUAAAAUAAAAUCACUAACAAAUCUGUACUAAUAAAUAUAAAAUGGAAUCUGCACUUAAUUAUAACAUAAUUCUCCUGAUUAUGCAACAGUUAGUUUGAAUUUUAUUGAAUUACAUAAAUGCUUUAUUAAUAUGAUCAUUUGAUUAUAGCAGAAUUGUAGUGGUUUUUAUAAAAUUAUUCUUAGUAGUUAUAUAAUUAUUCAUGGUUGUUAUAUUACCUUUAAUAGUUAUUGUUGUUGGAAAAAUAAUCUAGAAGUCCUUUGUUGGCUAAUGAUUCUCUAACAUUUUUUUAAAAAUUUUAUAGUAGUUGUAUUUUGAUUUGACAAUUUAGUUUAGUUUCUUUUAUUGACUCUUAUAGCUAAUUAAUAUUGACUUUCAUUAGAAUGUUGAUGAUGAUGUGAAUGAUGUGUUUUAAUGUUGAUUGUGUUGUGAUUCUAUUUUAUAAAAUAUUGUUUUAUGGUAAUCAUUAAUCAAUUGCUUUGUAUACACUCAUUUAUCAUAUUGCUGUAUGACAAAUCUUAAAGCCCUCUAAGAGAAAGGUUCCUGGGUUGCUUUGUGGAAAGUUUUAAACUCGCUCGCAAUGGUAAAGGAUGGAUCAAUGUGCUUUUAUGCAAGAAUUAUUAGUAAAUUCAUUUACGUGAAUUCUUAGUAUAAUUCUCUAGUUGAUUAUGACGAGUUUUUAACCUUUUCAGCUUAUGGCUGGUUCCCUAACAUUUCUUUUGCCUAUGGAUGAUAUGAAAAGCCCAACAAUCAAGGGCUCAACAUAAAGAAAGUCUUUUUUGAGUUUCCCUUCUAUUAUUCUUUUUGCUGGUAUUGAUAACAUAAGGAUUGAACUAUGAUGUGUUUAUCUGCAAUGGUGUUUGGAUUAGUUGGGUAACAUCGCAUAGUCAUCUUAUCAAAUUUCUAUACUUUGUCUUAAUAAGAGUGUUUAUUGUUUCCUUCAAUUUUUGGACUAUCGUUUCCUUCAAUUAAAUUUGGUGUUUGUGUUCAUUCCUUUUCAGCAAGUCCUGAGUCUUUGAGAUUUCUUUUGGUGGUUGAGGAACUACAGAAUGGUUGUAGAUCAGGAUAUCCUAAUUUCUCUAUACUUGAUCACCGAACAUUGAAUAGUGAUUUGUUCUUAUGCAGUAAACAUAAGGAUUUAAUUUUGAUUAUUUUCGUAUAAUGUCCUUUAUCUCAUGGAGUAUGUUAUGUGGCAUAAUAGUUUAAUUGUAAUUUGCUUCUUUGCAGCGUGAAAUUGGCUUACCGUAUUGCAUCUUAUGGGGUAUGUUAUGAGUGACCGUGUCUCCCUUAAUUUUUUAAUUUAUCUAAUAGUCCUUUAUUACCUGUUAUAGUUUUGUUGAAUUAUUGUUCUUUAUAGGGAUGUGUGGUAAUUAGCAAGAGCUCAGGACUAUUUGGUUUCAAUUUUUUUAUAACAAAACUUUAUUUUGCCUUUAUUAGUUUCCUUCAUUGACAAAUGAAUUUUGAACUUGGUUCUUGCAAAGCAUCAAUGUCCUUGCCUAAUUUGUGUUUCAAGAUUAUUGAUCUUUCGUAUUGAAGUUCUGAAAAUUUAGGUGGAGCAGUAUUGAAAAGAUGGAUCUUGAAGUUAUUCCUUUCAUUUUAGUAGUGUAAUUAGCAAGAGCUCAGGAUUAUUUGCCUCCAUUCUUUGAUUACAGAACUUUUUAUUUUGUUUGUUCCUGCAUCGACAAAUGAAUUUUGAACUUGUUCUUGCAUAAUUUAUCAUUGGGAGGAAAUGAAUUGGUGGUUUAGGUUUGGGAAACAGUGGAUCGGGACCCUGUGGAAAUUUAGGUUUUGUUCUAUGUUUAUUAUUUCUUUGCUGUUAUUAUUCACGGAUAAACUUGUGGACUGGGAAUGUUUACCUCUAUAUGACAGGCACUGUAAACGUCUGUGUCAGCUAUUUAAUUUUCUCUUUCUUGUCCACACUCAGACAUUUCUUUCAGCAACUGAGUCAUUUAAAAGAGAGUUUCGUUUCUUUUCAUGUUCUUUAUUGUCAAAAUAACCUUUCUUUCUUUCUUAUCAGCUAUAGUAUUUAGUUUCACUGUGAUCUCGGGAUGUGUUAUUUGGAAGUGAUGUGGUUAUUCAUCCAAGGAUUAAUGUGUUAUUUGGAAGUGAUGUGGUUAUUCAUUCAAGGAUUGAGUUCCAUUCUCUUCGACUUGCUUUUGUUUGUUGUGUUCAUUGCUAUCAAACAACUUUCUUCCUUUUAAAUGUAUGGAGUCUAUUUUUUUAAGAUGAAAUCCCCACUAAAUGUAAUGUUUUUUUUUUCUUUCUUUUUCAUCAUUGCCUAGUUAUUUCUGUUUCUCAUAGGCUUGGUCUCAUCCCUUCAACUUGCAUUUGUUUGUGUUCAUUGCUAUCAAACAGCUUUCUUCUUUUUAAAUGUAUGGAGCCUUUUUUGCUACGUCUAGAUGUUGAUUUUCUUGUGUUCAUUCAUUUUUAGGUGUUGAUUUGUUCGUGUUAAUUCCUUUUUAGCAUCUCGAGACUGCCGGAAUGGUUGAGGAUUAAAAUCUGAAAUUGUUUAGAACCACCAAUAAUUCAGGAUAACCUUCAACUUUGUUUUAGGUGUCAUUUGUUUUAUGUCUCUCUUUGUUUUAAAUGUCUUAUUGUCUCUAUACUUCAACUUUAUGAGCCGUUUGUAGCCUUCCUGAAUUCUUGGGGUGUACAGGACAAACAUGCAACAGAUGUGAGGUAGGAAAGAUGUGAGUAUCCUUGAAGCUUGAAUACUGGCAGGAGAUCCUUGAAGCUUUAGGUUUUGGUAUCCACACAUAUUUUUGUCUUUAAUUGGGACUGGCUAUUUGAAUUUCUCUGGUUUUUGAAUUCCUUCAAUUCAUUAAUUCAUUUUGUCCUUUCUUAAAUUCUGGGUCUUUAUUACCAAUAUCUAUUUGAAUUUAAAUAUAGUUCUUAAAUUUUUUAUGUAUAGGUGUUGAUUCGUUUGUGUUCAUUCCUUUUUAGCAUGUAAGACUGGUUGAGGAUUAAAAUCUGCAACUGUACACGAAAAAACAAGCAACGGAUGUGAGCUAGGAUAUCUGAAUACUGGAAGGACAUGCUUGAUUCUAUAGGUUAUCCAUACUCUUUGAUGACAGAUGUCUACUUGAGUUUGGAUGUAGUUAUUUAUUUGAUGACUGAGAUCUAUCAUAUGUAACUGUUUAUCUGCUUGUGUUAGUUCCUUUUCAGCAGGGGAUUCUGGUUUAGGAUAAAAAAACAUAAAUUUGAAUAUUGUUCUUGUCCGAUUAUCAAAAUAUGUAAAACCUAGCUAUUUGAUGUUGAUUCUUUUUUAGCACAUUAAAGGUUAAUAAUAAUACAAUACUCAGGGAAGAUGUCUCCUCUUUAUUUGAAACUUUGUAGAUUGAGCAUAUUUUUCGAGACUGAUAUAUGAGGUAGGAUGUGGAAACACUGGGAUUUGUGAAGCUUUAGGUUUUGUUAUCCUUACAUUUCUUAUGUUUUUAUUUGUGACUAACUAAACUUCUUGUUUGGAUGCUAAGUUUUGGUUGGAUUCAUUGCAGACCUUGUAGUGUGUCUGACAGUUCUUAUUGGUGUAUAUGUAGCAAUCACUAGCAGACUAUUAGAGGUCCUGUAAUUUGGGGAGGAUUUGUCUGACAGAAUUUCUAACAACUUAAUAUGAAGUACUGAAUUAAUAGUGAAAAAAAAGAUAAAGAAAAAAUAUCAUGGCCAUUAAAAGUUUAUGUUUCUUGUCCUGUUCAGCCAUGGCACUUGUCAGUGAGCUCUUGCUUCUUUCUCUAUUGCCCCAUAUGCAUACUUUUUCGCAUUUCUUACUCUUUUUUUAAGUUGUUCAUUUUUAAGUAAUUUAGGCUUCUCAUACUGGUUUCAUAGUGAAAUUUGAGCCUUUUACAUGGUGCCAUUGAAAUUAAGGAGGGAAUUAAUGAUCUUUAGUUUUAUAGUACUGAAUUAAUUUGGAUUUGCUUAGGUGUAGCAAAUUUGAAAGGUCAUUUUCUUAGUUAUUACUUCAUUUACUAAAUUAUCAAGAGCAUUGAACAAUUUGAUUUUGUAGUGUUUUGUUUGCUGCCUUGACAAAUGAAUCUUGCAUUCUAUUGUUUUUAGUAAUUUUGGGUUACAUUCUGAAUAUGACAUAUGAUGAUCUCUUAUAUCUUCCAAAAUGAGAAUGAUCUCCAACAUUAGAGCUGUAUUUAGUUCUAUCUCCAAUGUGAGAAUGAGAAAAUUGAGAGCUGUAUUUAGUUUUAUCUCCAAUUAUCUCUAAUAUUAGAAUGAGAAACAACAGUAGUUGAAAUGUUUUCUUGUAAUCUAUCUUCGUGUGCUAUGAUUCAGUUCUCUCUCCAUAUAUGAGAAUAAAAAAUGAGAAAGAGAAACAACAUUAUUUGGAAUGUUUUGUCGUAAUCUUCUUGCACUAUGAUUUUGUUCUCUCCCAAUAUGCGAAUGAGAAAAUGAAAAACAACAGUAUUUAGAAAGUUUUGUCGUAAUCUUGCGCUAUGAUUUGGUUCUCUCCUCAAUAUGCAAUGAGAAGAUGAGAAACAACAUUCCUUAACUUGUAAUUGAUUUUAUAUUAAUUGUUUAACUAUUCACUUCAUGUUUUUCUAAUUUGAAGAUAUCUCUUUACUAAAAACAAUGUAAUUAAUUUUAUAUUAAUUGUUUAGCUAUUCA
rnacentral:lncRNA from 1 species